CAUAGGUUAAUGAGGCGAACCGGGGGAACUGAAACAUCUAAGUACCCCGAGGAAAAGAAAUCAACCGAGAUUCCCCCAGUAGCGGCGAGCGAACGGGGAGCAGCCCAGAGCCUGAAUCAGUGUGUGUGUUAGUGGAAGCGUCUGGAAAGGCGCGCGAUACAGGGUGACAGCCCCGUACACAAAAAUGCACAUACUGUGAGCUCGAUGAGUAGGGCGGGACACGUGGUAUCCUGUCUGAAUAUGGGGGGACCAUCCUCCAAGGCUAAAUACUCCUGACUGACCGAUAGUGAACCAGUACCGUGAGGGAAAGGCGAAAAGAACCCCGGCGAGGGGAGUGAAAAAGAACCUGAAACCGUGUACGUACAAGCAGUGGGAGCCUCUUUAUGGGGUGACUGCGUACCUUUUGUAUAAUGGGUCAGCGACUUAUAUUCUGUAGCAAGGUUAACCGAAUAGGGGAGCCGAAGGGAAACCGAGUCUUAACUGGGCGUUAAGUUGCAGGGUAUAG
rnacentral:rRNA from 1 species